UACGAAGGGGGCUAGCGUUGUUCGGAAUCACUGGGCGUAAAGGGCGCGUAGGCGGCUUUGUAAGUCGGGGGUGAAAGCCUGUGGCUCAACCACAGAAUUGCCUUCGAUACUGCGAGGCUCGAGACCGGAAGAGGUUAGUGGAACUGCGAGUGUAGAGGUGAAAUUCGUAGAUAUUCGCAAGAACACCAGUGGCGAAGGCGGCUGACUGGUCCGGUUCUGACGCUGAGGCGCGAAAGCGUGGGGAGCAAACAGG
rnacentral:rRNA from 1 species